GUGACCCUUGCUCUGCUCUGCUCUCUAGGUGUUCAUCCACUGUAGUGCGGCAGUGUGCCAGCCGACUGCUACUGAGCGCUGUGUGCCCACCUGUGGCAGGAGGAGAAGAGCUGUUGCUCAAGUGGCACAGGACUCCUCCAGAGAAACGGCACUGGUGUCCAGUGGGGAAGUGAUCCUGGUUGGAUCCGAGCUUCCAGCUCUGGCUCAAGUGGAUUCCCAUCUUGAAGCACCUCGGUUCCUGAGCUAUGGGCUGCUGGUAGUUGCUGCCUCCACUGUGCUUGUGGUCUCUGCUCUGGUGCUGGUGGCUGUGUGGAGAUCUAGACCUCAGAUCCAGAAUACCAAGCUGUGCAUGGAGUGUGAAUAAAGGAUUUGCACUGAUCUCUA